rnacentral:lncRNA from 10 species
UCUGAAUAUGCCAACCUCAUGUGUCUACCUCCACAUCUUACUGCAGUCGCCAUCUGCCUUCCCGGAUAUCCACCCUGAACAAGGAACAUGUCUGGCCUGAUUUGAAGCUGCUACAUCUACUUUGAAAGAAGCCACAUAACCUUUGCUGCUACUUCAUUUCAAGUUUUCCUUUGAAUUUUCUAUUUCCUGAGCUGGGAGAAAUGAGAGGAUGCACCCUCUCCCUUUCUAACAGGUUAGACCAGGCAGAGGCCUAAAAAUGGCGUCUCAGGGUUUUAUCAAAGCCUUGAACUUCUGGCAGGAGCUUCCUUCUUUCAAGCUAUGCCGGCUUUCUUCAUGACUUUGAUUCACAUCUUCUUUGUCCUGCUAUUACAAAGGAGCUGUCCAUGUCUUCUCCACUCUCUUGGGGAGUAUAUGUAUUCCUUGUUUAUUCCUCCUCUAAAUCAGAGUCUUAUAAAUAUUCAGAAGUGCUGGCCAGCAAAGAGACUUGGAGUCAGGAUUUUUGGGUUGGUGGAUUUUUUUUCCAAUUCAAGCUUUUGGACACGUGUUCCUCCAGGAAGCUUGGAGCCUUAUCCUACUGCAGACCUCCAGAUCCUUUGAGGCCAACUGGCUGGCUAAUUAAUUAAUGGACCGGCUGAUUUAGCAAAUGGCCUUACAGAGGUGUUACUAAAACACUAAAAAAC